GAUGAAGAACGCAGCGAAAUGCGAUAAGUAAUGUGAAUUGCAGAAUUCAGUGAAUCAUCGAAUCUUUGAACGCACAUUGCGCCCGCCAGUAUUCUGGCGGGCAUGCCUGUCCGAGCGUCAUUUCAACCCUCGAACCCCUCCGGGGGGUCGGCGUUGGGGAUCGGCCCUGCCUCUUGGCGGUGGCCGUAUCCGAAAUACAGUGGCGGUCUCGCCGCAGCCUCUCCUGCGCAGUAGUUUGCACACUCGCAUCGGGAGCGCGGCGCGUCCACAGCCGUUAAACACCCAACUUCUGAAAUGUUGACCUCGGAUCAGGUAGGAAUACCCGCUGAACUUAAGCAUAUCAAUAAGCGGAGGA
rnacentral:misc_RNA from 1 species